rnacentral:rRNA from 1 species
ACGCACGCUGGCGGCGUGCUUCACACAUGCAAGUCGAACGGUGAAGCGCCUUCCUUUUUGGUGGGUGUGGAUGAGUGGCGAACGGGUGAGUAACACGUGAGUAACCUGCCCCCUUCUUCUGGAUAACCGCAUGAAAGUGUGGCUAAUACGGGAUAUUCUGGGUCUGUCGCAUGAUGGGUCUGGGAAAGAUAUUGUUUCGGUGGGGGAUGGGCUCGCGGCCUAUCAGCUUGUUGGUGGGGUGAUGGCCUACCAAGGCGGUGACGGGUAGCCGGCCUGAGAGGGUGGACGGUCACACUGGGACUGAGACACGGCCCAGACUCCUGCGGGAGGCAGCAGUGGGGAAUAUUGCACAAUGGGCGCAAGCCUGAUGCAGCGACGCCGCGUGAGGGAUGGAGGCCUUCGGGUUGUGAACCUCUUUCGCCAGUGAAGCAGGCCUGCCUCGUUUGUGGGUGGGUUGACGGUAGCUGGAUAAGAAGCGCCGGCUAACUACGUG